rnacentral:rRNA from 1 species
UAACUUUCAACAACGGAUCUCUUGGCUCUUGCAUCGAUGAAGAACGCAGCGAAAUGCGAUAAGUAAUGUGAAUUGCAGAAUUCCGUGAAUCAUCAAAUCUUUGAACGCAAAUUGCACUCUUUGGUAUUCCGAGGAGUAUGCUUGUUUGAGGGUUGUUCC